AGGAUUUAUUCCUUGAAUGUGCUGCUUGAUCUUGCUUUCCAUAAUAUUCAACUCUUCUUGUUUCAUAGAGAGCUUGCUGGAACGUUUGCUCAUUUGUGUCAGCAAGUGGAUGUUACACGGGAGAAUCUUGAGCAAGAAAUUUCUGCCAUGAAUAAAAAAAUUGAAGUUUUGGAUUCACUGCAGAGCAAAGCAAAACUGCUCAGGAACAAAGCAGGUUGGCUUGACAGCGAGCUCAACAUGUUCACACAUCAGUACCUGCAGCAAAGCAGAUAGUGUGAGAAGAAGAGAAAAACAAGAGUUUUCCUUCAGUCCUCUCUUAAUUACUGCAGAGAACAUGGUGGGUGAUGGAAUUCCCUAAAGGGAAUGAGCAAGAGCACAUGGCUGUGUUUCCAGUUGCUGUGUGAACAGUAGGAUUCUGCUUCCCUGUUCUGUGUCCCACAUCUAAACACUAGCUGUUAAUAACUCUUCUUUUUCCUUGUGAGACCACAGCCUACUUGAGGAGGAGUGUGUGCUUUAUACAUUUACCGGGGGCUUUUACUGUACUUCAUUUUGCUUUAAACAAAUUUAAAGCAGUCAAGCAAAUGUUUGUCAAGUUGAAAGUUAUUCCGAUACAUCUUUAUGGAGUCAAUUGUUUUACUUCAUAAAGACAAAACUUUUGACUUCUUAGCCCCAGGUUGAUGUAUGUGUGACAAGCAGCUGUUUGACUAAACACAGAUCCCACGCACACAGACCUGAUGGUUUCACAAAGCAUUUAUAGCCCACACAGGCUUGUCUCUGAGGUUAAUAUUCCAUUAUUCUAGAACAUAACAGAAAAUCACAAUGUCCCUUCAUAGAAAGGUUUAUUGCUCUCAGGAUGCUUAAACCUGUGAACAAAACCCAGUUCUCUUCUGGUGCAAGAGGGACUAAGAUUUUGCUUUGGUAAGCUUAGUGAAUUUGGAGUUAGUUUCUUCCUCCUAAGAGCUCUUUAAUAACACAGUCCUGCCCAUUUCUUGUCAUGGACAAAUAGUUUGCAAGGACAGAACUAGUUCCUGUGAAGGAGCUAAUUUGGAAUAAUUUGUCAGUUUGUUGAGGAGGAAAACCAGGAAAGAGAAGCCAGUUGGCAGAAUGUAAAGCACUGCACUAUGAGCUCAGUUGAUGAAUGUGGGUUUUCUUUGGAAAAGCACAGCUGUGUUUCUGGAAGCAGGCCUGUGGAAUUCCAUUACCACUAUUUGGCCACAAGAACAGCAUGUGGAUUUCACGCUGUAAGAGAUGUUGCUUCAUGUAGAGUUCCCACAGGAUGUUACAGUCCAGGCAGCAAUAGGAUUUGGUAUGUUUCUCUUCUGUUAAAAGUACCAGAACAUGCUGGCAAGUACAGCUCCUCUGGGGUGGGGGAGUCAUGGUCUUGUAGGUCAUGCCAGGUCAGGAAUGGCUUAAAGCAACUUGUUUUUUUUUCAAUACAUUCUUUAUUUGCAAAUACAUGAAAUAAAUUGUUGAGUUUUGCCCUGAUGCAUUUGGAGUAUAAUAUUUGGUAACUGUAAGGACUUGAGUCUCUUCCUGUUGGAAUUGAUAGAGAAGAAAUUAUUGCUGAUUUUAGAAACCUGAGUAGGAUUAAGUUCCUCUUACAAGCUUCUUUUCCUCUUUGUGGGUCAAUAUUUUGCCAUGUGUUGGUUAUAAUCUUUCUGUUGCCUACAAAAUGUCUGAGGAAUCCAGGAUCAGAUCCUGUAGUUCUGAGGUUACUGACAACCUAAAUUUCUUCAACAUCACACACAGAAUAUGGGCUAUCUCUGAUCAGGUCCCAGCUAAAUUCAGAACUACUGAGCAGUGAGGUGUUUUUCUUAUUGACAAAGAGACUUUUCCCUUGGAAAUGGCUUUAGGAGUUCUCCUUCAUGCUCAGGUGUGAAUAUAUGCACCUGUGAUAAAUCCCAUGUUUCUCAUAUCAGGGAAGUUUCAGAAAGAAGCUGCCUGAUACUUGAGGGAGUAAAAAUAGUGAAAUGUCAGUAACUACUUCUUAGGUAAGGCGAUUCUGAGAUUUGCAGAAAGACUUGAAGUGUCUUGAUUAUUGUGUAGGAGCUGGUGGUGAGGCUCUUUCAUCCCUGGAAUGCAGAAAGGAAACAAACCUUUCCCUUCCAGUAGAGUGCUUUGACUCCAACUCAAACUGAAAAGCUGUUUAUAUCAGAAAGUUUUUUGACCUUGACUGGGUUCCUCAGGCAUCCACCAGGAUGGGAAUAUAGAUUUACAAGAAAGAAAUUCAAUUCCUUGCUUCUGGAAGUGUGUACUCUGAGCUUGUGCUAAAGUAUAUCGGAGUAAGUGGAAUCACCUAGUCUUACUCUACUGUAGGUCUGGUUGAAAAAAUUUGAAUCUUUAGUCUCUCAAGAUGUCACAUACACAGUUACAAUAAGCUAUGUUCUGUUCUAUUCAGUUGAAAUCUUAAGUGCAUCCCUAAUACACAAGGAUAUUGUCAAUUCCAGGUCAAGGCAGAGGAUGAUGUACUACUGCUCAGCAGCUCAUGACUACUUGAAAUGCUGACCUUGCUUUUGAAGAGGUAGUGUUAGCAUCUCCUCAGUGGGCCCGUAGGGGAAAUCUGAUAAAUGAGUUGAUCUUUACGCCAGUGUCUUAUCUGUGAAGGGAAAAGAGAUUGGUGGGUUCUUAGAACCCGGUGUCUUGCUGCUGUGUGUGUGUCUGACUCUGCUCAGGCCGGGCUGCUGUCAGCAUUCUCACUGCAGAGCUGAAGCCUAACCUACAGAACGGGGGAAAGAACCACUUGAACUUUUUCAGAAGCAAAGCUGCUAACAUGUGUGGGUGUAGCCCUUGUCCUGGAAGCCCAAGUGAUCAAGAAUCAAACUUUUAACAGACAGGCCUAUAAGCUGGAUUUGUCUGAAACAAAUUACAGCUGUACUUCUUUAAUUGAGAGUGGUGGAAGAAUGAAUGCUAGCAUGAGGAGUUUGUUCUCUUCUGAUUUUCAUGAAGAAUGCUAAACUAUUCCUUAAAACAGGUAAUUCCAAAAACAGUCUUCCCCAAACUCCCAUUAAAGAAGGUCAGCUAAAUGCACUUUUAUCUUAUUGCUGCUACUUACUUUUCCUGUUGCAUUAUGUUGAUGGAGCUCUUUGAAAUACUCUUACCAGUGAGGUUUCUCUCUGCUGUAUUUAAGGUGAUAAAUUUGCAUGAGUUAGUCCUGUAACAGUGCUGUAAACAGUGGAAACCAAAAUAAAAAUGAAUUGGAAAAACA